GAUCUUUAUUUUUAUUUUUUAUAAUUUAACAAGAUUAAUAAGAUUUAUAAUUAUAUUAAAAAUUUUACUGGGGUGGUAUUAAAAUUUAAAAAACUUUUAAAGGUAAUAAACAUAAAUUUAUGAAUAAUUGAUCCAAUAUUAUUGAUUAAAAAAUUAAGUUACCUUAGGGAUAACAGCGUAAUGUUUUUUUAGAGUUCAUAUCGACAAAAAAGAUUGC
rnacentral:rRNA from 1 species